CAAUGAUGCCCUCACGCUGAGAGCUUGAUGAGGACCUGGAUUCUCAUCCCAACACGUUUUCAUUGCCUGAUCCUCAACCAGCCAUCAGCUUCACCGAAGAGAAGCCUGCUUUGGUUUCUGAUCUGAUCACCACAAUCUGAACAGGGGACAGGAAUUGGAAACAAGCAAGGCCAGCCACCAGACCACCGCAUUGGCGGUGGGAGAUGGAAGAAGGCACAUCACGGAGGAGACCAGCCAGGAGCUGCAAAGUACAAACUCAAGGUCGUUGAGCUUGCGCAGGGCGGCGUGGCGGGGCAGCCCCUGGAUGUCGCGGAAGAGGUCCUGCUCCUCCAGCUCAAACAGGCGCCGG